rnacentral:rRNA from 1 species
GACGAACGCUGGCGGCGUGCCUAACACAUGCAAGUGGAGCGACGAACCAGACUUCGGUCUGGGGCCAAGCCGCGAACGGGUGAGUAACACGUGGGUAACCUGCCCCGAUGAUCGGGACAACCCGGGGAAACCCGGGCUAAUACCGAAUGUGGUCGCGGUCCGUGAGGACUGUGACGAAAGGAAGCUUCGGCCUCCGCAUCGGGAUGGGCCCGCGGCCCAUUAGCUUGUUGGUGGGGUAAUGGCCUACCAAGGCAUCGAUGGGUAGCUGGUCUGAGAGGACGAUCAGCCACACUGGGACUGAGACACGGCCCAGACUCCUACGGGAGGCAGCAGUGGGGAAUCUUGCGCAAUGCGCGAAAGCGUGACGCAGCAACGCCGCGUGGGGGAAGAAGGCUUUUCGGGUCGUAAACCCCUUUCAGUUGGGACGAAGCUUCGCCGGUGAAUAGCCGGCCGGAGUGACGGUACCUUCACAAGAAGCCCCGGCUAACU